rnacentral:rRNA from 1 species
CCUACGGGUGGCAGCAGUGAGGAAUAUUGGUCAAUGGCCGUAAGGCUGAACCAGCCAAGUCGCGUGAAGGAAGAAGGAUCUAUGGUUUGUAAACUUCUUCUAUAGGGGAAUAAAGGUAUCCACGUGUGGAUAUUUGCAUGUACCCUAUGAAUAAGCAUCGGCUAACUCCGUGCCAGCAGCCGCGGUAAUACGGAGGAUGCGAGCGUUAUCCGGAUUUAUUGGGUUUAAAGGGUUCGUAGGUUGUUUUUUAAGUCAGCGGUGAAAGUUUGUGGCUCAACCAUAAAAUUGCCGUUGAAACUGGAAGACUUGAGUGUGUUUGAGGUAGGCGGAAUGCGUGGUGUAGCGGUGAAAUGCAUAGAUAUCACGCAGAACUCCGAUUGCGAAGGCAGCUUACUAAGCCAUAACUGACACUGAAGCACGAAAGCGUGGGGAGCAAACAGGAUUAGAUACCCCAGUAGUC